CGUGUACAUAUAUGAUACAAAAUAUUACUUCAAAAAUAAUACAUUGUGGUUUUUAUUUUUUAAGAAGACAGAGUUAUUAAGCUAUUUAGAGUGUAAAGACAUCAAACAACUCAAGCUUUGUGAAUCAGGAAUUGGCUACACAUUCAAGUCACUGGCUUGUGGAUUCUGGGCUUUGAAACAGAAUGAAUUUCGAAAAGCCAUCACCAAAAUUGUAAUGCAGGGAGGGGAUGCCGAUACAAAUGCAUGUGUGGCAGGAGCAUUGCUAGGAUGUAAACUAGGAUUAGACGCUAUCCCUUCAUCAUGGAAAGAUGGUUUGUUGCACAAAGAGUGGUUAGACCAACAGAUAUCUAGAUUCUUGAGAAUGACAAAUGGAGAGGAAAUGGAAGGCAAGGAUGAUCCAAAUUCAGAGGCAUUAGGAACUGUUUAGCACCCUAACAAAUGUGAAAUGAAUAAAAAAAAGUAUGUAAAAACCAACAACAGACCACUGUAGACGUAUCAGAAUUUUGGCUCAAGUACACCCUAACUAUCAUAGUAUCUCCUUUUCACCAAACUGUUGCAAAAAGACAAUCAACGUUAUCAUUAGGCCAUGACCUGUAUUCAAUGUCAUUUCACAGAAUGAAUAUGUAACUAAAAUGUGACUGAAAGGUGACUGAAAGCUGACUGAAUCAUUGGCAUAAAUAUGCUAUUCAGUGACCUUUCCAGUCCAUUCAGUUAACAUUCAGUUGACUGAAUAAUGGCAGAGCUUCAUCCUGUUAAAUGACAAUGUUAAGACAAGAGCUUGGUCAUUUUUUUUCAUUACAUUACAAAUCGUUUUCUCAGAUUUAUACAUACAAACCAAAUAUUGUUAUAGAGAAAUAUCUUAUAUGUGAUGUUUCUAGACCUCGAUUCAUACGGGUCACUGUACAGGUCACUGUGAAAGUAUGCUCUCACAGUCACAUACGGAGCAAAAUUACCGAUGUCUGAGGUGAAGGUUAACCAAUGUCUGAGGAAGCCAUUAGUACCAUCAAGCAUUCUGGGAUAUAAUGUUGCUCACAAGGCAUUGUACAAACAUAUCACAUGUACUUGUGUGCUACAUAUACAUAUAAUAUACUAUUUGUUUGUUAUGUUUUUUUAUACCCCCGCUCCGAAGGAGAGGGGGUAUACUGUUUUACCCUUGUGUGUCUGUCUGUCUGUCUGUCCGUCCGUCCGUCCGUCUGUCUGUCUGUCCGUCUGUCCGUCUGUCUGUCCGUCCGUAACAAAAAUUUCUGUCACAUUUAUCUCAGCAACUAUUUAUCGCAGAUGCUUGAAAUUUUAACACAGUGUUUGUUAAGGCAUGCCAUAUCGUGGGAUAUAUUUUGUACCAAUCGGACGUCAACUUCCUGUUAAAUGACGACUUUGCUUAUUUUUUAACCAAAAUCUUCAAACAAAUUUUCGUCAAAGAUUUCUCAGCAACUGUUCAUCGCAGAUGCUUGAAAUUUUUACACAGUAUUUGUAUAGGCAUGCCAUAUCGUGGGAUAUAUUUUUGUACCAAUCAGACGUCAACUUCCUGUUAAAUGACGACUUUGUUUAUUUUUUGCCAGAAUUUUCAAACAAAUUUCCGUCAAAGAAUUCUCAGCAACUAUUUAUCGCAGAUGCUUGAAAUUUUAACACACUAUUUGUUUAGGCAUGCCAUAUCGUGGGAUAUAUUUUUGUAUCAAUCGGACGUCAACUUCCUGUUAAAUGACAACUUUGCUUAUUUUUUAACCAAAUUUUCAAACAAAUUUUCGUCAAAGAUUUCUCAGCAACUAUUUAUCGCAGAUGCUUGAAAUUUUAACACAGUGUUUGUUAAGGCAUGCCAUAUCGUGGGAUAUAUUUUUGUACCAAUCGGACGUCAACUUAUUGUUAAAUGACGACUUUGCUUAUUUUUUAACCAAAAUUUUCAAACAAAUUUUCGUCAAAGAUUUCUCAGCAGCUUUUUAUCGCAGAUGCUUGAAAUUUUAACACACUAUUUGUUUUGACAUGCCAUAUUGUGGGAUAUAUUUUUGUAUCAAUCGGACGUCAACUUCCUGUUAAAUAAUGACUGUUUAUUUUUUGCCAAAAUUUUCAAACAAAUUUUCGUCAAAGAUUUCUCAGCAACUAUUUAUCGGAGAUGCUUUAAAU